CCUACGGGUGGCAGCAGUGGGGAAUAUUGGGCAAUGGGCGCAAGCCUGACCCAGCAACGCCGCGUGAAGGAAGAAGGCUUGCGGGUUGGAAACUUCUUUUGUCAGGGAAGAGGAGAAGACGGGACCGGACGAAUAAGCCAAGGCUAACGACGUGCCAGCAGCCGCGGUAAUACGUAGGUGGCAAGCGUUGUACGGAUUUACUGGGUGUAAAGGGCGUGUAGCCGGGUUGACAAGUCAGAUGGGAAAUCCUGCGGCUUAACCGCAGAACGGCAUUUGUAACUGUUGAUCUUGAGUACUGGAGCGUCCGCUUGCCUUCCUACUGUAGCGGUGACAUGCGUCGAUCUUA
rnacentral:rRNA from 1 species